AAAUGAUGUAUUAAAUAAAUAUUUUGACGGACAAACCUCAUUAUGUAUUAUUAGAUGUAUCUUUAAUUUUUUAUUAAUAAAGUUCUCUUGUACAAUAUAUAAGUAUAAUUCAACGCACCUAAUAAAUGUUGUUAGCUUUACAUUUUAUUCAUAAAAUUCACUCAUACAAUAUGUAAGCAUUGAAUUAGAAAAAAAAAAAAAGAAGAAAUUCAGCCCACCUAAAAAAUGUUGUUAGCUUGGCCAUUGAUCUAGCCAUUUCUAAAAAUAAAGUACCCCAUCAACUCUUCGGCCUUUUGAUGGUCCACAUAUCUAAGAUUGUGGGAGCACUUCUCUUACGUAUUGUCAUUACAUAAACACAUAGUAGAACAUUUUUCUUCACAAGAGAGAAUAAAAUAUUUUUUCCGCUAAUAUUGACUUCUCAAAAUGAGAGUGAACAUCACAUGAUCUUGUGAUUUUAGUUUUUAUGUAUUUUGAACUCAUAGAAUGUGAUGAUGAAUAUUGAUAAUGACCCGGUGACAACGAUCAUCAAUAGCUUUAAUUAAUAAUUGAGCCAGAAAAAUACUCAGUACCGACAUAAGCUUCACUAUUUCCAGGACAAUUUAUUGUCAAUGAAAAUUUGCAGAGGGGUCGGCAUGUUUCACCUCUCACAUCCCCUUUCUGUAAAUUAUAGAAUUAUAUUUCGUAUAUGCAGUGAAAUGUUGUAAUAAACUUGGAACACAAUUAGUUUGACAAAACAUAGCCACGUGAUUACAACAAAAGGCUUUCAUUUUCGUUGAAAGGUCAGAGAAAAAUAGAGAGAAAAUAGAUAGGAAUGAUCAUGAGAUACACUAGAAGUUUAAAUAAUAUUUAGGAAAAUCUGAGUAUAUAAUCUAAUGAUUCAAUAAUGAUUGGAUCUCUAAAGAGGGUAUGUAUAACUAAAAACUCGCAUGUAAUAACCAAUUUUACCUUUUGUUGCCUUUCUGCAGAGCCGUAUGAUAAAUAUUACGGCUAUUGUCAUAGAUUUAAUUUGUUUUCAAGUGAUGUGCUGAUAGAUGCUAGAAUUCAACACCCACAUGUUCACUUUGAAAUCCAUACUUCAAUUAAUUCAUCAAGGACCAUAAAAGUGAUAAGCAUCACAUAAUUAGGAUCCAUAAGAUAUGAUCUCAAAGUUUCUCAAUUGAGUCAAUUCUAAGCCAAAAUUUUUGCCAUUAUUUCAUAUCAUGGACAUUAGUAUUGCAAACAUCGAAAAACAAAAUCCCAAAUUAUGGUGAUUAAUAUGUUUUUUUUUAUGGGCCUAAUCAUAUUCAAAAGCUAGAUUUUGAGUAGAGCUGAGGAGUACUUAUAUUAGUAACUCAGCAACUAUUCUCAGCCGAUGUGUGAUAAUAUUCUCGACUCGCCUUGUCACAUGCAGGUAGGCCUUUUUCCCUCAUCGUUGUCACAUGGAAGAGUAGAUACCUCUUUUUUCCUCAACCUUGUCAUGUGGAAGAGUCGAUGCAUUUUUUCCUUGUCCUUGUUACGUGGAAAAGUAGUACGGAACUACUCGUGCAUGAGUUUGGCUAUGUUCUCAUAUAGAAGUCGAUGGGCCUCACUCAUACUAACAAACUAACUCAAACGUUAAGGGCUAUCUAAGCCUUAUAUGUGUAACAUAAAAUUCAUUCUUAACUGAGGCGGAAUAUUGUCCGUAACACAUUUUAAAUAUUUUCAAAUUAAAUUGUGUAGUUAUAUCUUUACUCUUAUUCUGUUAAUGUCUCAUGCAACAGAUUGCUAUAGAUAUUUUGAUUUCUUUAUUUUGAGCACUGGUAUAAUGAAACUGAUCAUUAAAAAAGUAGGGACAUAGCAUUCUUGAUAAUUCUUCAGCGGGGAUUUUGCAAAGAAGUUUAUGAUUGGUCAAACGUUCCUUCAAAAUAGUAAUAAUUUUGAGGAGCUAGGCACUCACAAUUCAGAAUAUUUUGUGAUCCUAUGGCUCUCUUCUAGUAUAAAUAAUCGAAUCAUACUACGGCAUAAUUAUAUUAUUAUUGUUAUUAUUUUGGUCCAUGAUUUUAUAUUCUUUAAAUCUAGAUUGAAUCUCAUCUCAAAAAUGAUUUUGAUAUGAAAAUAUCAUAUAUAAUAGGCAGUGAAGUGUUUAACCUCUCACCAAAAUGUUCUACUCUUUUCUUGUGCUUAACGGGGAUAAUGGAAAUUAGGCGUGUCCUAUUUAGAAUUGAACUAAUUAGAAUGGAAUUCCUAUUCUUCUUUGUGCAGGAAGGUUUAUCUUCAAUUGUUAACAAUGAUUAGAAGGAAUUAAAGAGAAAAAGAAAAGGCAGUGAAGUUAUCAUCAGUUAAAGAUUUUCAAAUUGAAUUAUGUUAUUUUUAUUCCUAAUGUGCACAUGAGAGUAUCGAUUUCGAUGGUGAUAUUGCUUAAGUUAUACUUCAACACUGCACGCGCAUAAAAUUGUCUAAUCUAUCUACAGUUUAAAUAAUACACAUGAAAUAUCACAGGAUUAUGCCACCUGUGCAGUUGCUUCUCACUCUCACAAUUAUAUGUAACUAGAAAAUAGAACCGCGUUUCACGCGGCUUUGAAAAAAGAAUUUAGUAUUAUCCUUUUUUCUUACUUUACACUUGAUAAAACUGAUA
rnacentral:lncRNA from 1 species